rnacentral:rRNA from 1 species
UACUCGAGUGGCGAACGGGUGAGUAACACGUGGGUGAUCUGCCCUGCACUUCGGGAUAAGCCUGGGAAACUGGGUCUAAUACCGGAUAGGACGAUGGUUUGGAUGCCAUUGUGGAAAGUUUUUCGGUGUGGGAUGAGCUCGCGGCCUAUCAGCUUGUUGGUGGGGUAAUGGCCUACCAAGGCGUCGACGGGUAGCCGGCCUGAGAGGGUGUACGGCCACAUUGGGACUGAGAUACGGCCAG